rnacentral:rRNA from 1 species
GUCCACGCCGUAAACGAUGGGUACUAGGCGUCGGGGGGAGCGACCCCCUCGGUGCCGUCGCUAACGCAGUAAGUACCCCGCCUGGGGAGUACGGUCGCAAGACUGAAACUCAAAGGAAUUGACGGGGGCCCGCACAAGCGGUGGAGCAUGUGGUUUAAUUCGAAGCAACGCGAAGAACCUUACCUGGGCUUGACAUGCACGGGAAAGCCGGUGGAAACAUCGGCCCCUCUUCGGAGUCCGUGCACAGGUGCUGCAUGGCUGUCGU